AUGGACAGAGGGUCGCCAUACUCAAGAGCUCGUUCCUCCAAGUACAAGGACCCAGAGAUAUCAUCCGGUGAAGAAGAGGAAGACUUAGAUUUAGAUCUGACCCUGAACAUAGAAGAUGACUACAAAGACGAGGUUAAACCCAUGCCCGGCUCACCUCCAACAGAUGUGGUAGACUCACCUGAUGAAGACGAGAAGAGGGCUUGGCACAAUGAGGAGAGGAGAAGAAAGAUAGAAGAGAAAAUAAAGGAGGCAUUGGAGAGGCGGAAGAAGAGGAAGCAGGAGCAAGAGAGAAAGAAAGAGGAUGAAAAAAGGGUACAAAAGCGCAUCGCAGUGGCUGACAGUAUUGCAAUGGCGCUGCAUUGA
rnacentral:rRNA from 1 species